UACGAAGGGGGCUAGCGUUGCUCGGAAUCACUGGGCGUAAAGCGCACGUAGGCGGGUCUUUAAGUCAGGGGUGAAAUCCUGGAGCUCAACUCCAGAACUGCCCUUGAUACUGGGGAUCUCGAGUCCGGAAGAGGUGAGUGGAACUCCGAGUGUAGAGGUGAAAUUCGUAGAUAUUCGGAAGAACACCAGUGGCGAAGGCGGCUCACUGGUCCGGUACUGACGCUGAGGUGCGAAAGCGUGGGGAGCAAACAGG
rnacentral:rRNA from 1 species